AGAGUUUGAUCCUGGCUCAGAACGAACGCUGGCGGCGUGCUUAACACAUGCAAGUCGAGCGAGAAAGGGGGGGCAACCCCCUGAGUAGAGCGGCGCACGGGUGAGUAACGCGUGGGUAACCUACCCUCAGGCGGGGGAUAACUACUCGAAAGGGUGGCUAAUACCGCAUGAGACCACGGGAUCUUCGGAUUCUGGGGCUAAAGAUUGCACCGGCUUGCCGGUGCCGUCACCAGGGGAUGGGCCCGCGUCCGAUUAGCUAGUUGGCGAGGUAAUGGCUCACCAAGGCUACGAUCGGUAGCUGGUCUGAGAGGAUGAUCAGCCACACUGGAACUGAAACACGGUCCAGACUCCUACGGGAGGCAGCAGUGAGGAAUAUUGCGCAAUGGGGGAAACCCUGACGCAGCAACGCCGCGUGGGUGAAGAAGGCCUUCGGGUCGUAAAGCCCUUUCGGACGGGACGAACGCUCUGCGGUGAAAGCCGCGGAGUCUGACGGUACCGUAGGAAGAAGCACCGGCUAACUCCGUGCCAGCAGCCGCGGUAAUACGGAGGGUGCGAGCGUUGUUCGGAAUUACUGGGCGUAAAGCGCGUGUAGGCGGCCUUGCAAGUCAGGCGUGAAAGCCCUCGGCUUAACCGGGGAAGUGCGUCUGAAGCUGCUUGGCUUGAGUACGGGAGAGGGAGGCGGAAUUCCCAGUGUAGAGGUGAAAUUCGUAGAUAUUGGGAGGAACACCGGUGGCGAAAGCGGCCUCCUGGACCGAUACUGACGCUGAGACGCGAAAGCGUGGGGAGCAAACAGGAUUAGAUACCCUGGUAGUCC
rnacentral:rRNA from 1 species